CCCUCACCUCGCCACAACCUCCUUUCAGGGAGCUGUAGAGACCAUAAGGUCUCCCCUGAGCCUCCUCUUCACCAGCCUGAAGAACCUCACUUUCUACUGACAGCUACCCAUAGACUUCAUUCCCUCCCUGAGCCUCUGCUUGUAGCCCUCAUGCAUCUGCUCCAGAUGAAUAUCCCAGCAAAUCAACCUCUAAUAUUUAUGGAAACAGCAAAUUACAAUGCAAAUGUUGCAAAACUGCUCAGAGAAAUAAAAAUUUGAAUUUGUAAUCAGGUCUGUUUCCACUGGAAAUUGGAUUCUGCCUUUUAUGCUCAGCUGAUCAGGCAAAAGAAAAGCGCAUUGUGUGACCUACAUCUUCAAUCGGAUGUAAAUAACAGCCUGUGUUUGGGGUACUGAGGGCUCGUGACAAGCUUGCCCACCAGCUGCAUGGAUUAUCUAUCCCACGCCAUCAGGGGAAUAUAACAAGCGAGCAAUCUUUAAAUUUGCUUGGAGCACCUUCUGAUCCCUUGCAUCAGUCUGCCCUUAGAGCUUCUUUGUACCACUCCAACAGCAGAGAGGCACUGAGACAGGUGCCAGCAUGUGGCCGUCUCUUCCAACCCAAAGCCAUUCCGUGAUUCUGUGCCCAGACUCAUUGCAUGGGGUUGCAGCCUGGGAGCUGCGUUGGGGAAGGUUUCUAACCCUAAAACUGGGAUCCCUAACAGGAGAAGGGAGCACAUCGUGCUGGAUGGCUGUGAGGAUGGGGAGGAGCCUCGUUCCUCUCAAACAAACUCUCCAUCCCAAAACCAGCAUCCCCCAGGGAGGGGAAUGGCUGCACCACGGGCUGCAGCCACGCAAAAUAACAACAGCAAACGGAACGAUCCUAAAGCGGUGAUUGCUGCUUGGGAAAAGCAGCCUGCAAAAAGCUGCCCAAACGCUGUGAUCCUGAGAGGUGUGGAGUGGCUCUGGUGUUUGCUACAGGAAAAUUGAAAAAUCCAGGCGAGUCCAGCACAACAGCACCUCUUCCCUUCCUUUUUUUUUUCCCCUCCUUUUAUUUUUGUGUGUGUGUGUGUGUGUGGGUGUGUGCCUUUUAAUUCAUCCAACCUGAAGGAGCAACGCUAAGCCUAUCCAAGCCCAGGGGCCUCAGCCUGCAGAACGAAUGACGCACCCUCCCGCAGCACCAGCUGCGAAUGAAGCAGCAUCCUGCACCUCUCCGCGUCGGUGAGACAGCACGGAGCCGCCCAAAACACAAUGGGAAAUCCAAAGCAGUUCUGGUGGCAAAACGCCACUUUGGUGCGAAGGGACAUCCUCGCGAACACCCCAUCCCAGGCGGUUCCUUCCCAGGUCGUUCCCAACCUCGUUUCCCAGCCUCACGGAGCCACAGGGCUGGCGUCCCGCUGGGCGCAGCAGGGUGUUAUUCCCAUACGUGAGAUGGGAAUGACGCACCUCUGUUUCCCUUGCUCCACAGGGACUGCACCGGGGGCUCAGUGCCACCUCUGUCCCAUUCUCCUUCUGAAGGACUCCUCGGGGCGGUGGAAGCGUUGGCGAGAUACAGACCACAGCGGUCCCUCCUGUGCCUACAGCUUGGCCCGAGGGCCCCUCAGGAGAUCCCACCCCGGCACCGACCCUCGACGGACAGCGCGGAGCUGUGACUCGCAGUGACCCCACCGCAGCUGUCGGCACGCGGUGCCAUUUGUUGCGUGUGCCAUUCGCUGCUAUCACUCCUCCUGGCUCGGGGCUGACGCGCACCGUGAGCCACCUGUAGCCGCGAGCCUCGCGCCCGCACCCAUUCGUUUCCCGGCAGAGGGCUGGAGGGAGCUUUUCAGGCUCCAGCAAAGGCGACGCAUUCCUCCGUCGGCUCUCAGGAGUCACCAAGGUCACAGGAAAAGACGCCAGAUAGCAAUCUGAGAUGAAACGGAGUACUUUCGCAUCUCUCACCAAACAGCAGCCGAGGACAUGUGCAGGCAGUUGCAGGGUCCAUCUCCCCGAGCCCGGAGCAGGUGAGCAGCGCUGACCUCGCCGCUGGCUGGAAGGGGCCCUUGGAGCUCUGUCACGGGGUGGGACAGCCCCAGGUCCCCUUCAUUGCGGCCUCGUGGUCCCCAGGCUGCUCGCACCCCGCUGGUGAGCAGCUCCGAGCCACUGCAGGCACGUCCCCAGCCACACACCUUGAUGACCAGGGACAGCGCGAUCCUACAGCAUCACACUUCGGGCACGUGAAGCUGGGGACAUCUGAGUGGCCCAGAAACUGCCAACACCAAGCUGCACCGGACACAGAAUCACAGAAUUGCUUGGAAUUGGAAGGGAACCCUAAAGGCCACCUGGUCCAACCCCCCUGCAAUGAGCAGGGACACCAACAGCUCCAUCAGGUGCUCAGAGCCCCAUCCAACUCGACCUUGAGUGUCUCCAGGGAUGGGGCACCCACCACCUCUCCAGGCUCCAUCAGCCUUUGUCAAUGGACCUACCCAUUCCCUAUGGAACACAUCAGAGAAAGAGCCCUAACCCACAAGAUGGAGAAACCAACACCCAGCCAAGGAAUGCACCGCCAUGAGUUAAAGCUUGUGUGAGGAGCUGAGAAGUAUUCUGAUACUUUGGGGGAAGACAUGAGGCAGGAGUUCAAACAUUCGGAGAUACCUCUUUAUAUGAAAUGAAUGGCUCCCCAUUCCUGCGCAGCGAGAACAAAACCGGCAGCAUGCAGAUGCAAAAUAAACGUUGCUGAACGCACAGCCAUAAAGAAACCAGGGCCAGAUUGAAUGCUUUCAUGUCCCUGUGGCCAUAGUGGGACCCAUUGAAGACCCAGCAUGGCAGACCCCGAUGGGCCCUCCCAGGUGGGCAGCUAAUGGCCCUUCCCCAAAAUUCCCCUUAAAAGCAUCACACAUCAGGAGGUGUCCAUGGGGAUGUUACAUCCAUCCUCUCACCAUUGCAGUCACCAACGGGACAAAAGCACUGCAACGGGAGCCAAUGCCACUGAAGGAGUAUUUACCAUCACAGCCAGCCUGUCCCCCCACUGUCAUGGCUCAGUCACAAGCACCUGGGAAGGAAACACCGAUGGCUUUUUUUGUACUCCCCAAAUGCACUCCCUUCCCCACCAGAUGCCCCAUUGCCAAGGCUUUGUGGCUGUAAAGGGAAAGCUAUUGUAUUUUCCUGCCACGUUAUUUCAUUCCCACCUUUGCCACUUCACUAAGGGAUAUCCCUGCACUGUCAUGCACAAGUCAUGAGGAACCCCAGUAUUCUCAAGCCCCAGCUCUAACAUAACUACAUAAAGUAUGAUGGAUGGUAUAUGGUGAUUAAUUGAAUCCCACCAUCACUCUGCAUUAGGGGAGGAAAAACACCAUUUGGUUUUGUUUCACUUUGCUUUCCACAUCCCAGCCCGAGGGGCUGGAGGCACACGGCCCAGUUUGCCAGGUUCUGCAUUGUUUUGCCCUGAAGUCACAGAAAAGCACAGGAGUUUUGACAGAAGGGGCACCUUGGUAACCCCUUGCCAGGAUCACACUCACUGGUCACUCCUGGUUGGUGCUCCAGGAACCCUUCCCAGCCCCAGCCCCAGCGCAGAACUCCUGCAGCUCCCUUGAAACGCAGCCCAGAUCUGUCCCGAGCUUGGAGCAGGCUCAUAAACCUCAGACAAGUUUUCAGCUGAUGAUGAAUUAAGGUACAAAGUGAAUAGUUUCUACUCCUGGAAUUUGUUAUUAAAAGUCCCGAGUUUCCGAAGUGGACAGAUAGUUCCUAACCCAGUAAUUAAUUACCUUCCCCGUCUCCUCUCCGUGCUGUAAGCCAUCCAUUAAUGGAUCCCAAUCAUCCAAAAGGCACUUAGCACCUGAACAUUUUUCUCCGCAUUCCGGGGGUAGCGGUGCUCGAUUGAUUUAUUUUUACAGGGAACACUCGCCUUGUGCCUCCCUUGGAAGCAGCUCAUUCCAGAUACUUGACAUUUGGAGGUCAGGAUGGAUGUGGGUCUUGUGAUCUCUUUUCAUCCCUCACAGCAAAAUGCACAGCAAGCUUAUGCCACCGGGUCCAAAAUGUUCCUUUCUGAUUCCUGUCAGAAAUAAACCCCGUAUUUCCUGGGGAAAAGCAGUUAGCCAUUUCAAUCCAUCUGAAGCAACUCGGAACCUCUGAUUCCUUUCUUUCAUGACUGUUCUCAGCCUGCUCUGAGAAGGAAUAUCAGUGAGUCCACUGCACACGAUUUUGUAUGGAGUUCCCAAAUUUACUGGUUCACCAUAUUAUUUUUUUUUUCCUAUUUAUGGCAGUAAUUGCCCAUUCUAGAAUUCAGAGAGCAAAGGCAAUAAUUCAGAGAACCUCCUUUCUCCAGUAAUUUAAAUGAUAACUCCAUGCUGGCCGCUGUGCUUCAGUGCAUCCCGUCCAGGUGCAGGUGUGAUGCUGGAUGAAGCUGAGCCAGAACCAGAAGCAAAGGGGUGAGAACACAUUGCCUUGCUGGCCACAGAGAGCCCCUUGCCAUAACCAGGCACGGCAUCAUUAUUUAAUUCACGUGUUUUGCUGUUUGCUGCUCCUCCAGGAUCACCAUUAUCUGCAAGCGACCAUCCCAAGCAUGCGACUUUCUGGCCACUGUGCGCAACGAAAACACCCAAGGGAACCCAAAGAUGACCAAGAGAGAGCCAUGAAGAGAGGAAAGAAACAUAGGGAUUUGGGUUAAGCUACAGAUUGAAGGAGUUUGGUUCUCCCAGUGCAGAAUCCCAUUGGGACACCCAGACAGAACCAGAGUAAUGGCAACUUACAGCAAGGAGCUGUCACUUAACGCCCAUAUCACAGCAAAACUUGACUUUUCUCCUGCCCAUUCUCAACUCUAUUUGUGUUGCACUGCUUUUGAGGCAGAUGACUCUAAUUCCUGUACACUUGAUAAUGUCAUGGCAUCACAAACACAGCAUGAGCAUCUAGGCAAGGCUGCAAGGCAAAGAAUAAACUAUUUAAUCCUUCACUGCCUUCUGUGUCUGUGCCUUCUGCAAACGAAUCCGUCAAACCCACAUCUAGCAACUUACAGCUGGAGGCUUAGAAAAAAAAGAGGUUUUACAUCCACGUAUCUCAUAAAAACAAAUGUUUUCACACCCUCAUUUCUUAAAAGCAAUUCCAUGAACUCAAAGGAAAGUUGGUUAUAGAUGAUAACAAAGCUCACAUGGCUUAAAAGAUAGAAGGAUCUUUUCAUUAUGAAAUUAACUGAGCUGCAACUUGUUCUGGACAGAUAAUGCUCAGACCUGGGUCCCAAACCACCCUUCAGGAUUCCUGAAGCAAGGCUUCCCUCCACCCUUACAGUUAACGAUGUCAAUGACAACGCCCCAGGAAAGAUCAGCACACCUCUUCUCAAGCACCAAGUAGGAAAGUUGCUCUACUUACCGCACACAACAGCAGCAAUGAAACUGUAGACCAGAAAGCCCAGGCACGACAUGCCCUGAGACAACAGACACAGGCACCUUCCCGACAGCGCUGGCCAAAACUAUGGUACCCAAUGGGAGGAGCUGCUUGUCUCAUUGAAUCCCAGAAUGGCUUGGGCUGGAAGGGACCUCGAAGCCCACCCAGUUGCAAUGCCCCUGCCUUUG